CACGUGUUGUUCUAACUCAAAGUCUUCAUCUUCUUGGAAUGUGGAGAUAAUUGCUUUGAAAAGUGGUCAGGACAAGAAAAUGGUGGCAUGCCUAAGUCUUUCAAGGAUGAGUGCUUUGAUACAAUGAUAAAGCCCCACUUCUAUUUUACAAGCACAGAAAAGAUUGCCUAUAGGUAUUGCAUUCAAAGUAUUGCAAAAAAGUGGGCAACAUAUAGGCAAAGAUUGUGGAAUGAGUUCUAUGAUCCAACCAUGAGAAGAGAAGCAUUGGUGAACAAUGUGCCUGAUGAUGUUCCAAGAGAUCAA